GGGGGGAGGGCGGCAAUGGGGGGAGGGUUGGGAGGGGAACACCCAUAAGGAAGGGGAGGGGGGAGGGGGAUGUUUGCCCGGAAACCGGGAAAGGGAAUAACACUUGAAAUGUAUAUAAGAAAUACUCAAGUUAAUAAAAAAAAUAAAAAAUAAAAAUAAAAAUAAAAAUGCAAAACCCUUGCCAAAAAAAGGGAGAAUUCUUGCCUCUUCCCUAAGAAGGUGGGUGAGAUUUAUUUGAGAUAGCAAAAGGCUCUAUGGCUAUUUGAAGAAGAUGGUUUGUUACCCAGAUGCUUAGCACCUAAACUACAGAUAAGAAGAUUCCCUUUGGUGUGGGAGGACAGUCGUGUAAAAUACAUGUAGUUGAGCAAGUUUGCACAUCCUGUCCUCCAGCUAGAGUCCUUUGGGAAUCACAUUGGGAAUAGGCUACUGAAGUGUGCUUCAAAGACUCACUCACCCAGAAAUGAUUUUUCUUUUAAAAUUAAAGACCGUGAAAACUUGUUUAAAAUUUAAUUUUAUUCUAAAUCUUUAUUUUUAAAUUUUAUUAACAUAUAAUAUAUAAUGCAAUUAUUAAAUUUAUCUAUAAAACUAUUAUGACAUUUUUCUAAUAAAAUAAGCAUCACAUGAACAUUUGUGUAAAGAAAAUUUACUGUACACAGUACAGCACCUUUCAUCAUCUCAUUAUAUUCUACUGAAGUCCAUUCAGUAGAAGCCACCACGGGGUGCCCUCAGCACUGUGUCCUACGUAAGGUGCGCUGGACACAAGGUGAUACUAGAAAAUAGACUUCUCUAGGAAUGCAAGUUGAACAGGAAAAGGAUAAACUUCAACAAAGAGGCAAUGAGACAAGUGGGGAUGAGUCAUUCACUUCUGUGGAAGAAAAAGAGAAGUAGAGAUCCCGGUGGAAACAAGAGACUGAUUCUCACACCUACUACCCCGACAGUCCCUUCUCCACAUCCACAGUCUGUGAACUCCCGUGUACCUAUGUGCAGAGCGACGCCAUGACAGGUCACUGAUGCACCCCCUGCUGGUCUGUCCUACGUGUGAAAAUCUCCAUCAGUCAUGAGGAAGAGUUUUCUUUAAAAUAAUAUCCUGGUCUCAACUGGCAGCCACCAGGGCCCUUCCUCCUCCCUGCCUGCGCCUGUGUGAUGUCAGAACCAAACGCAUCCGUCUUUUCUCAGAAGAUGCGAUUAAAGAAUGUGGCUAAAAGAAUAAGAGGAAAGGAUUGGCCAGGCAAGCAUCUACCAGAAGUUCAGCUCGGCAGUGUGGGGGCUUUAAUUCCCCUAGAAUCCUGAUUAAAUGUCAGUUCUGCAUUCUAAAGGACAGGGACAAAGGAAGUGGCGUGUGGGCAUUUGAGCAAACUAUUUACUUUAGAGAGUAUUUCUAGUCUUGAAGUCAUACCUGCCCCGAAACACUCAGUCUGCACAUUGUCCACGCCACUCCUCCCUCCACCACACUACCUGGACAGCGGCUGACAAUCACACACAUAUGUUCUUCCUACCUGUGACGACCCGAGUGAAAAUGACUCCCGUAGGCCCAUAAGCAGUGGCACCGUUAGGAGGUGUGGCCUUUUUGGAGGAAGUUUGUCGCUGUGCGGUGGGCUUUGAGAAUUCAGAUGCUCAAGCCAGGCCUAGUUGUUCCGUUUCUCUUCUUGAUCCCUGUCAAUCCAGAUGUAGAAAUCCCGGCUACCUCUCCAGCACCAACUCUGCCUGCGUGCCACUGUGCUUCCCGUGGUGAUAAUGGACGACACUGUAAGCCAGCCCUAAGUAAGUAUCUUCCUUUAUAAGAGUUGCUAUGUCCAUGGUGUCUCUUCACGAGAGGAGAAACCCCAACUAAGACACCACCCAUUUGAUUUUGCGGACCUUCUUAGGUUUUCCUGGGAUCCAGUCUGAGGGUGUGGGAAAGUUCUGAGGCAGGUGGCCUCUUACCUGCUCCUUUAUUUUAUUUUUUGAGACAGAGUAUCACUAUGUAGCUCAGGCUGGCCUCAAGGUUGCAAUCCUCCUGCCUCAGUCUCUUGAUUGCUGUUCUUAUAGCUAUGCAGCAUCGCACCUAGAAAGCCUCACAGACUUCACUCUGGAAACCUCAGGUUUUCUGAACAAUUGGGAAAUGGGUUGAGGUAGGUUAAACAGUCCAGUCCUUGUUUGUAUGUUUUUCCAAUAUUGAAUUGGCUCAGUGUCUCGGUUCAGAGAUGCUCGGAGGUAGGAAAUUGUGAGGUGAGAAAUAGCCAGUGCAGGCACAUUGACAGCCAUGAGAACCGACAGCUUGAUAGAGUGAGUGGUAAUUAGCUGACUGCCAGUCCCACCAUUAGCCAGACCUCGCACUGGAGCUGUGCAGGAGCCAACAACCCCAGAAUUCCUGGCCACUUCCAAGAUGUCCUUGUGCUCAGAGCCUCAUUAAGUAAUUAAUAUUUACUAUGAGGACCUUGGGCCACCAAGAGGAGUAAUUAUACUCUUUACUCUGAUUCCUAAGGCAGGCACUUACAUAAUACACUUAAUUAACAUUAAAAAUUAUUACCCUUUACUAAACUCUGUGUGCCAAGACUUGUGUUCCAUGUUUUAUAGGGCUUAUCUCAUUGUAGAAAUAUUCCCAUAUAAAACAGCAUUAACUACAAAUAUUUUAGUACAUAAGCUUUAGUUGGCUGCGCCAGCUCCAGUGGAGCCUGCCUGACAUGAAACAAUCAUGGUCAGCAGGCCAGAGAUAUGUGUUCCUCGGAACUUGGUCUCCUGGAGACACUUGGCCACUUCCUGCUCAACUUUCUGCCUAGCUGAUUGGAAUGGGUACGAUCUGGAGUUACAUACUGACUCUUUUGUUUCUUUUUUUACUAACAGGAACAUCGAGACCCGAUUUGGUCUUUAUGGACCAUGCCUCUUUGAAAGCACUAGCAAAAAUUAAGUAGAAUCAGAAUGAAACUCUAAGAGAUGUGAUCCAUAACUUAUAACCUCAUCUGCAUGACCUUCAGAGUCCACAUUCCCAGCAGCCUUCCGGUUCUCUGGGCCCUCCCUGAGACCCUGGGCUGUGCUGCAGUCUGAUCUUCCCGUAGCCUGCUGCUCCAUUGUCUCUGUGUCAUUCCCUCCUAACGAGAACCGAAAGGUUUGCCCCAGCAACAUUUUACUCUAGAGAGCAGGAAGAGGUCUACUUAACUCUGACCUUCUUGAAGGCUGGAUGUCCAAGAGAGGAUAAGGAAGGAGCUGCCAGUGGCUCUCUCUCUGUGUCUGUCUUAUAAAGCCACCAUGAAUUCAGAGGCCACGCCCUACCCAAAUUGUUUAAUCUUGUCUCAUUAUCCAAAGUAUGUCCCUAGAAAGACUGAUGAAUCCACCCACUCAAUCUAUUUAAAUAAACUGGGGUGUGUGAGGGUGUGGUUUCACGCACCUUUAAGCCCCAGGCCGACACAACCUGUCUUUAAAAAUUCAAAGGGAUUCUAGGAAGUUGUCCUAAGGGCCUUUAAUCCCAGAGAUCUGUAAGCAGAGGCAGGCAGAUCGCUGUGAGUUUAAGGCCAGCAUGAGUGAGUUGCAGGACAGCCAGGGCUACUCAGAGAAACUGUCUCAAAAAACAAAACAACAUAAAGUGAACAAUUAAAAAGUAAUCACAUGACUGAGGGUUUGUGGCCACAGUGUUGCUCAGCAGUAACGGGCUGCUGUCAAGUCUGACAACCAGAGUUCAAUCCCCUGGUCCCACAAAGAGGAAAGAGAGGAGCCAGCCCCCAAUAGCUGUCCUCUAUCUUCCACAUAUCUACUGUGACACACACACCCAUUAAUACAGAGGAAGACAAAUAAUACAUGUAAGCAAUAAAAAGAUUCAGGAUUGUGUCCUGCAGAUCUUCAGUGGGGCAGACAUUGUCCAUAGUUAGCCACAGUGAACUCCUGCUCAAAUAUAUUAAAUGGACAUGAAUAAGUGUCAUGUGGACAUAUUCACACUGUUACUCUAUAUUUAGUUAGGGGAGGUUCUAUUUGUUUUUUAAUUUAUUUGUUUGAUUUCUUUGACAAUGUAUUCCCUGAUUAGCCUGGAACUUCACUGGUAGACCAGGCUAGCCUAGGACUCCCAGACAUCCACAAGCCACCAUGUGGUCUUUGCCACCACACCUGCUGACAAUUCAUUACAUUUCCUCAGAGCUGAGUUCAUAAAGGAAAGACCAGGAGGGCAGGGCCCAACACACUUUCCAUCCCAGCACACAACCGACAAGGCAGAGGCAGGCAGAUCUCUGUGAGUCCGAGGACACAUGGUCUGCAUAGUGAGUUCUGAGAAGUCAGGGCCACAUGUAUAGCAGGACCCUGACUAUAGAGAAGACAGAGCUGUCCAUGUGUCUGACUACACUCGGCCUUAGGAGCAGAAGGUGCCCCACCAAGUCCUGUCACUGUGCACCCCACCAUUUGUGUCCUUUCCAGUUGAGCAGAGGCACUUGUAGAAGGACUGAGAUUGACCCCAGGACCUUGUCCAUGGGAGACGAGCACUGACACUGAGCUGCAUGCACAGCCCAAGCAGGCAAGACUGUAAGGGACGUCUCUGUCUAUGAGAGCAUCCGAGCUACACACAGUGAUUCACUGUUUACAUAACACAGUGGUUUGUGUUUGCCACACAGGCCAGGGGGCUUCUGAUGUUGUUCUGUCUGUUCCAGCCAAGGUCUGACUGGACAGCCCAGGCUGGCCACCCUGGGUAGCCUAGGCUGGCCUAUAAUUCCUCUGGAUCCUCCUGGCCCACUAUUUCAAGUGGCAUGAACCACCGUACCCCAGAUCCCAUAUUUUGAGAGAUCCUGAAUGUUUGCUUAAACAGACCUACAUGAUUAAACGUCUGUCUGGAGAGACAUUACUUUUGUUUUAAAAAGCUGCUGGAAGAGUCCAGAGAACAGAGUGAUCUGAAGAGGCACCUGAAGGAGGUCACAGCAGCCAUCAGCAAGGACCCACUGUACAUCCACAGACUGUGGUCAAAACCAACCCUCACAUCCACAGAGGCUGCCAUCCAGUCUAUGCUGAGUGCCUGAAGAACAAUGACCUUGGCAGAGCAGCACUGUGACAGAUCAAGGAGUGCAGAAGCCUGUGGCCCAAGGACAUCUUUGGACGCAGCUCUGAGGACGAGGUCCAGACACUCCUGAAUAUUUAUUUCCUCACCAAACCCUGGGACAGACCGGUAUUUACGCCCUAGUAGGGUCUAACCAUAGCCUGACUGAAAUCUGCACCAAGCUGAUGGAGCUGAACAUGGAGAUCCGAGACGUGAUCCGCGGGGAUCCGCAAAGUUUGGACAGAGUAUUCCCCUCUUGUUCCCUGUAGAACUUUUUCUAAAGAAGAUGACUCAACUUCCAAUGUGUACAAUAUUCUCCAAACCGAGAAAGCCUAGGACCUCCUGAGACAGACUCUACCCAUCCUGAUGUGUGGCUACUGUUCACCAAACAAAGGCACCCAAUACUGGAGACAGGACUUCUGUUGUGGUACCCAAACUGACCACACUGAAGGACUUCAUCCUUCUAGAGACACUUUAGAUUGGCAAAAGUACAAUGCUUUUAUUCAGACGAAAACCAAUUUUUAUUCUGAACGUCGUACAUUCGUUCCCUUCCUUUCCCUUCCUUUGGGUUGUCUUUUCUUUCAUUCCUAUUCUCUCUCUCUCUCUCUCUCUCUCCCUGUCUCUCUCUUCUUGCUAUGUGUUUUUUACUUUGUGUCAUUGAAUUGCAAAAGGAAACAGAUAGAAAGAAGCUGGCCAUGGAAACAUGUAAGAUGGUCAAAAGCUGGCAGCCUGUGUGCUUGAAAAAGUAAUUGUAAAUGAGUUACAGUUUCAUGGACACGGUAUCUAAACCAGGCUUUUAUGAAGUACCUUACUUAAGUUGCUAGGCUGCUGUUUCUGAAAACCCUGGAUCUCUCUGUGCCAGGAAAGAUCCCGAUGGAAUCGUUUUCAGGAUCAUGGCUGCUUUUUACACACAGGUUGCUUUAAUAGGCAUCGGUUAUACCACAGAAGACGAGUGUUCGUUUGCAUUACCUUUGCCGUCUUGUAGAAAAGCAAGUUAUUCACAAAAACCCCAAGUCGUGUCAUCUGUGUGCGUGAGUCUUUAGUGGCCCUGUGGAGAGCCACAAGUAGAGUCACACAGGGAAAACAUGAGUUGCCGCUUUAAGGAUGAUGACCUGUUUUAUUCCUAAUGGGUCUUUUGCAUUUUUUAAAAAAAGAUUAUUCAUUUUUUAGACAUAAGUAAACUGGUGCUGUCUUCAGACACAGCAGAAGAGGGCAUCAGAUCCCAAUACACAUGGUUGUGAGCCACCAUGUGGGGGCUGGGAUUAUGAACUCAGGAACUCCAGAAGAACAGUCAGUGCUCUUAACCACUGAGCCAUCUCCCCAGCCCACUGAAGUGUCUUUCUUAAAAGGUCCUUCCUGAAACCCAGCACUGUCGAAUGUUAGAUGUGGGCAUGUGAUCUGUUGCUCACACAAAACAUAUUCAGACUUGGUCUAUGUAACUUAUUCACUGUGUAAAUACAUUUAAGGUUUUUGGGAUGUGAUGAUCUUUGUUGAUAAUUCUGUUCAGAAAUGCUUUUAGAUUACAU